GAAACAAACCGGAAGCAGUAGAAGUAACAUUUGCAGAUUUCGAUGGGGUCCUCUAUCAUAUUUCAAAUCCUAAUGGAGACAAAACAAAAGUGAUGGUCAGUAUUUCUUUGAAAUUCUACAAGGAACUUCAGGCACAUGGUGCUGAUGAGGUAAGAUCCACAUCAUUUUCCUUGGGACUCUUGUUUCCUCACCUUUCAUUGGCAGUUUGCCAUUCAUGGAAGAUCCAUGGCACUAAAUCACCCCCGCAUGACUACUUGCUCACCUAACUAGGGGCUCUUGACUUGAUUCCUACAAUGAAUUAUGUUUCCUAGAAAAGGUUUUGACUCUUGCUUGCUUGCUUUAAAACAGUGGAAACAAAAAUAGCUUUAGUUCUCCAAAAACAUAGCAAAGAAUACUUUUCCUUGAUCAGUACAAAAAUAGCUGUUGCAAGAAUUAGGUUCUGUUCUAUUUUUGUAAUAUUAUCAAGGCAGAUAGAUAACUUCUAGCUUGUUUAAAUUUUAUAGUCUCGGGUUCUCAUUCUGGAGGCUUAGGCACAAAUAGCUGUCUUUUGAAAUUUUUAAUUAAAGCUCUUUAAAGCUACCCUCUUUAAAUAUCUCUUCUUU
rnacentral:sRNA from 1 species